rnacentral:rRNA from 1 species
UGGGGAAUAUUGCACAAUGGGGGAAACCCUGAUGCAGCGACGCCGCGUGAAGGAAGAAGUAUCUCGGUAUGUAAACUUCUAUCAGCAGGGAAGAUAGUGACGGUACCUGACUAAGAAGCCCCGGCUAACUACGUGCCAGCAGCCGCGGUAAUACGUAGGGGGCAAGCGUUGUCCGGAAUUACUGGGUGUAAAGGGAGCGCAGGCGGGAGAACAAGUUGGAAGUGAAAUCCAUGGGCUCAACCCAUGAACUGCUUUCAAAGCUGUUUUUCUUGAGUAGUGCAGAGGUAGGCGGAAUUCCCGGUGUAGCGGUGGAAUGCGUAGAUAUCGGGAGGAACACCAGUGGCGAAGGCGGCCUACUGGGCACCAACUGACGCUGAGGCUCGAAAGUGUGGGUAGCAAACAGGAUUAGAUACCCUGGUAGUCCACACCGUAAACGAUGAUUACUAGGUGUUGGAGGAUUGACCCCUUCAGUGCCGCAGUUAACACAAUAAGUAAUCCACCUGGGGAGUACGACCGCAAGGUUGAAACUCAAAGGAAUUGACGGGGGCCCGCACAAGCAGUGGAGUAUGUGGUUUAAUUCGACGCAACGCGAAGAACCUUACCAAGUCUUGACAUCCCUUGACGAACAUAGAAAUAUGUUUUCUCUUCGGAGCAAGGAGACAGGUGGUGCAUGGUUGUCGUCAGCUCGUGUCGUGAGAUGUUGGGUUAAGUCCCGCAACGAGCGCAACCCUUAUGGUCAGUUACUACGCAAGAGGACUCUGGCCAGACUGCCGUUGACAAAACGGAGGAAGGUGGGGAUGACGUCAAAUCAUCAUGCCCUUUAUGACUUGGGCUACACACGUACUACAAUGGCGUUAAACAAAGAGAAGCAAGACCGCGAGGUGGAGCAAAACUCAGAAACAACGUCCCAGUUCGGACUGCAGGCUGCAACUCGCCUGCACGAAGUCGGAAUUGCUAGUAAUCGUGGAUCAGCAUGCCACGGUGAAUACGUUCCC